rnacentral:tRNA from 1 species
GGGGGAGCGCCGGAGUCUGGAGAGCCGGGCCGGCCUGUAAAGUCGGUGCCUUAGCGCUGAGUGAGUUCGAGUCUCACCUCCCCCA